AAUAUUUCUGAUGCCAAAAGGGCAAGAUUUGAGAUUGACUGCCCCAAGUUAUUGCAUUGCUCACUCACUGUGACAAAAUUUUUUUUAUUUUUUUUUCCUUUCUUUUUUUAGUAGUUUAAUGAAAAAAUCGAUAAGUAUUGACUUUCAAAGUUUGAGAAAAUUCUCACACAUCUAUUUAUCUGACAAGCUUCCAUGGCAAAAACAAAACAAUGAGUGGUUUCGAAACUACUCGAGUGUGUCAGCCUGGUCGAUUCUCAACUUAGUUCUGUCACCAGGAAAGAAAAAAAAAAAAAAGAAAAAAUACGGGGGUUUGCAAGUUUCAACACUUUCUUGCUA
rnacentral:lncRNA from 1 species